rnacentral:lncRNA from 1 species
CAGGAACUUCAUAUUAUUGAUCUAAUGCUUUAACCAGUUAGGCUCUUAAAGCAGCUAGUAGAUUUCAAUUUUGAGAAAUAGUAAUAGUAAGAGGAUACUUUACAUAGUUCCAGCACUGUGAUCAUCCAAUGAUCUAUUGUAUAUCCUUAAAUCAUCUCAUAAGAAAUCUCUUACACAUAAAGAAUGAUAUCUUUCUCAAUAGAACCAUAAAAAGAUCUUGUGCAGGAAAAUGUAACCCUAGAAGAUUAUAUGUUACCCUGAAAGAGCCACAUAGUCAUACAAUAUAUAAAGAGGAGUUUCAUUUCCCUUUCCAUUUUGGGAAACUUAUAUACUAAUUAAUUUAGAAACUUUAUCAGACUAAGCCAAUAUUAAUGGUCUUGAAUGUCUGACUACCUAGUCACAAUUCACCUGGCAAAAAUUUAGGCAGAUAUAGACCUAGCUGAAAUCAAAUAUUAUAACAUAACAUAAUUAAGGACUAUUAAUAAAAUAUUAAUCUAACCCAACCAAAUUAUCUUAAGUGUAUUAUUUUGGAAUUAAACUGCAUUUUAAUAAUUAUUUAUUUAAAUUGUGUUAAAAUUAUACUAUCUAAUAUUAAAUAAUUCAGCUAUAAUCC